rnacentral:rRNA from 1 species
UACGUAAAAGACUAGUGUUAGUCAUCUUAUUAGGUUUAAAGGGUACCUAGACGGUAAAUUAAACCUUCAUAAGGUACUUUUUUACUAGAGUUUAUAAGAGAAAGGGAGAACUUUUGGAGUAGAGAUAAAAUUUUAUGAUACUAAAAGGACUGAUAAAGGCGAAGGCUGCUUUCUAUGUAAAACUGACGUUGAGGGACGAAGGCUUGGGUAGCAAUAAGG